AUGCAUCGCAUUUUUGUCCCUGUCCACCAGAGGGUGCAGUUUCCUAACGCAGACACAUUUCCUGUGUGUCUAAACUUCACUGAAACUAAACCUCACUGUGACUUCAAUGUUAAGAGUCAAGAACGUUCUUCAGGAGACACUCUAGAGAUUAUCUCUUCUCCAGGGUUAGUGACUGUGAUACUCUUCCUGCUGGGACAAACCCGUGGAGACUCAGUGAGCCAGAUGGACGGCCAAGUGACCCUUUUGGAAGGGGCUACCUUGACUGUGAACUGUACUUAUUCAGACACCACGUACCCCACUCUUAUCUGGUAUGUCCAGUAUCCUAGAGAAGGUCCAGAACUCCUCUUGAAAGCCACGAAGGUCAACAACAAGAGAACCAACGAAAGUUUUGAAGCCACAUACAAUGCAAAAACCACCUCCUUCCACUUGGAGAAAGCCUCAGUCCAGGAGUCAGACUCGGCUGUGUACUACUGCGCUCUGGGUGACACAGUGACGGAAACUGCAGCGGGAGCUGAGCGCAAACUCUGA